GCGGAGUCUAAGGAUCCACGUUUCCCAACUUCCAGUUGUUCCAGUGUCCCAAGACUCAGCUCUCAGAGCUCCGUCCAAGAACCUAGAAAGGUAGAAGGGAAGAUUUUUUUCUUCUACUCUUCACAUCGUAGAAGAGUUUUGCCUGUUUUUUGAACUUUAUCAAAUAUCCAUGGUCUACUUAAAGCAUAUAUCCAGAAUCAGCCCAGUUCUCACCAUCUACACUACUAUCCUCUUGGUCCACACCUCCUUCAACUCCGCCGGACUGUUGUGAUGACUCCUGUCUGGUCUCCAUGCUUCUGCUCAUAUCCGCAUUGAACCCAACCGCCAGAGCAAUCCUUUGGAAGCCUAAAUUGGAACAUGCUGGUCCUCUGCUCAAAUCUCUCUGUUGGCUUCUUACUGAUGUUGAGUAUUUUCCAUUUGCUACUCUAACCCAUACUCUACCCUGGCCUGCUGCCCAGGAAGGCUGAUCUGUUUAGACUGCAUCAAGAGAUUUCUUUGCCCUCUGGUCUCCCAUUGGGUUGGGCCUAUGGGAAGCAGUAAUAAGUUAUCAGAGGAAGAAAGAGUGAGGUUUGAGUAUUUAUGCCCCCAUCUCCCUCCCUAUAGGUCACCACGGGAUGACUGCCCCCCUCAGAUCUACUCCUGUAAUGCACCCUUCUCUUCAUCCACUACCCCUUGUAAUUUCUCUAAACCCCACCCAUACCUUUGUAAAUAUUGCCUUCUUAAGCUCUAUUCAAGUUAUUCUAAAUUCAGUGUAUCAUCUGAAUGAAUAAAAGGUACCAAAAUGA